rnacentral:sRNA from 1 species
GAAAUGGAAAUUGUGAAUUGAAGAGGUGGGCUGAGAUUGUCUUUAGAGAUCUCAAACGUCUGUUUUUAUCUUAUUGGCCACAUGUUUUAUUAGAUACCACAUCAAACAAAACCAAUCGAACCGGUUAAACAAUUGAUGGUUUAAUUAGGGAAGGAUAGAAUUGUCUUUAUUUCCUCCAAAAACAAGAAAAAGUGCCUCAACUUUGGAAAGUGCCUAAAACGUAAAUACACUAGAUAUUAACCCGCGGUAUACCGCGGGCCUAUAUUUUUAUUAAAUAAAAAAUAAUUGAAUAUUUUUUAAGAUGAUUUAAUAAAUUUAUGCUAUUGUUUGAUUUAAAUGUAUAAUUCACCGCGAGACGAAAUUUUAUAACUCAAAUUCAAAGUUUUAAGUUGUAUUUGUUUAUUUUGUUAAAUGUUUAAUAUUGUAUAAUUGUAUUUUGAUUGUUGUUUCUCGGAUUUCACCCGUAGUAUACCAUCCCAUAUUAAUAUCGAAUCAAACUCGUCAAUUCUAGGAUUUCACCCGUGGUAGUAUUUAAUUGUAUAAUUAUAUUUUAAUUGUCAUUCUAGGAUUUCACUCCUAAUUCUAUCACAAAUUAUUAUCAACCCAAACCAGUCAAUUCUAAAAUAUCACCCGUAGUACACCAUCCCAUAUUAAUAUCGAAUCAAGCCCGUCAAUUCUAGGAUUUCACCCGUGGUAGUAUUUAAUUGUAUAAUUAUAUUUUAAUUAUCAUUCU